rnacentral:rRNA from 1 species
GAUGAACGCUGGCGGUAUGCUUAACACAUGCAAGUCGAACGGACUCUUCGGAGUUAGUGGCGGACGGGUGAGUAACGCGUGAGAAUCUGGCUUUGGGUUCGGGACAACCACUGGAAACGGUGGCUAAUACCGGAUGUGCCGAGAGGUAAAAGAGAAAUUGCCUGAAGAUGAGCUCGCGUCUGAUUAGCUAGUUGGUGAGGUAAAGGCUCACCAAGGCAGCGAUCAGUAGCUGGUCUGAGAGGAUGACCAGCCACACUGGGACUGAGACACGGCCCAGACUCCUGGGGGGGGAAGCGGGGGGGACUUGACGGCAGGGGACACACGGGUGACGAGGCACAGCGGCGUGAGAGAAGAAGUGUCUGGGGUUGUCACACACUUUGCUGAGAAAAGAACCAAAUGGCGGUAUCAAGCGAUUAAGCCGCGGCAGACGCAGGACCAGCAGCCGCGAUAAGGGAUGAAAAACCCGCUUGGAACC